GAAGUGCGAUAAGCAAUGCGAAUUGCAGAACCGUGAGUCAUCAGAUUUUUGAACGCAACUGGCGCCGAUUGGCUAUCCAGUCGGCAUGCUUGUUUCAGUGUCUCUUUUUUUCCUCACCCAAAUCUUAAUGCGAGAGAUACCCUUCUCUUGCUAAGUACGAAAGCACUCUGAGCCCUGCAAGUGAUUUGGCUUCGGUCAAGGUCACACUCAAUGCAGCAGUCACAUUGCUCACAAUGUGAACUCAUUGAGAGUCGAGUCAGCGCAGCUAGUCUGCAAGUGCUUAGAGCUUCAAACUCUUCUUGUAUCUGAAAUCAAGCAGGAUCACCCGCUGAACUUAA
rnacentral:misc_RNA from 1 species